rnacentral:rRNA from 1 species
GUCGAACGGUAACAGGAAGCAGCUUGCUGCUUCGCUGACGAGUGGCGGACGGGUGAGUAAUGUCUGGGAAACUGCCUGAUGGAGGGGGAUAACUACUGGAAACGGUAGCUAAUACCGCAUAACGUCGCAAGACCAAAGAGGGGGACCUUCGGGCCUCUUGCCAUCGGAUGUGCCCAGAUGGGAUUAGCUAGUAGGUGGGGUAACGGCUCACCUAGGCGACGAUCCCUAGCUGGUCUGAGAGGAUGACCAGCCACUCUGGAACUGAGACACGGUCCAGACUCCUACGGGAGGCAGCAGUGGGGAAUAUUGCACAAUGGGCGCAAGCCUGAUGCAGCCAUGCCGCGUGUAUGAAGAAGGCCUUCGGGUUGUAAAGUACUUUCAGCGGGGAGGAAGGCGAUAAGGUUAAUAACCUUGUCGAUUGACGUUACCCGCAGAAGAAGCACCGGCUAACUCCGUGCCAGCAGCCGCGGUAAUACGGAGGGUGCAAGCGUUAAUCGGAAUUACUGGGCGUAAAGCGCACGCAGGCGGUCUGUCAAGUCGGAUGUGAAAUCCCCGGGCUCAACCUGGGAACUGCAUUCGAAACUGGCAGGCUAGAGUCUUGUAGAGG